AGCGAACGCUGGCGGCAGGCUUAACACAUGCAAGUCGAGCGGGCAUCCCUGUGGUGUCAGCGGCAGACGGGUGAGUAACGCGUGGGAACGUGCCCUUCGGUUCGGAAUAACUCAGGGAAACUUGUGCUAAUACCGGAUACGUUCGAGAGCAGAAAGGUUUGUCUGCCGAAGGAGCGGCCCGCGUCUGAUUAGCUAGUUGGUGAGGUUAUGGCCCACCAAGGCGACGAUCAGUAGCUGGUCUGGGAGGAUGAUCAGCCACACUGGGACUGAGACACGGCCCAGACUCCUACGGGAGGCAGCAGUGGGGAAUAUUGGACAAUGGGGGCAACCCUGAUCCAGCCAUGCCGGGUGAGUGAUGACGGCCUUAGGGUUGUAAAGCUCUUUUCUCCGGGACGAUAAGGACGGAACCGGAGAAAUAAGCCCGGGCUACCUCCGU
rnacentral:rRNA from 1 species